AGCGGGGUAGAGCAGCUAGGAGUGCUCGUCGGGCCCAUAACCCGAAGGUCGGUGGUUCAAAGUCAUCCCUUCUUUCUUGGAAGAAAGAAGGUCUGACAACCCCAAGAAAGAACGAAUCUUUCGCAAAGGUUGUGAUGGAGAAACUCCACCCCCCGCUA
rnacentral:tRNA from 1 species